rnacentral:rRNA from 1 species
AGUCGUAACAAGGUUUCCGUAGGUGAACCUGCGGAAGGAUCAUUACCUAGAGUUUGUAGACUUCGGUCUGCUACCUCUUACCCAUGUCUUUUGAGUACCUUCGUUUCCUCGGCGGGUCCGCCCGCCGAUUGGACAACAUUCAAACCCUUUGCAGUUGCAAUCAGCGUCUGAAAAAACAUAAUAGUUACAACUUUCAACAACGGAUCUCUUGGUUCUGGCAUCGAUGAAGAACGCAGCGAAAUGCGAUAAGUAGUGUGAAUUGCAGAAUUCAGUGAAUCAUCGAAUCUUUGAACGCACAUUGCGCCCCUUGGUAUCCCAUGGGGCAUGCCUGUUCGAGCGUCAUUUGUACCUUCAAGCUCUGCUUGGUGUUGGGUGUUUGUCUCGCCUCUGCGUGUAGACUCGCCUUAAAACAAUUGGCAGCCGGCGUAUUGAUUUCGGAGCGCAGUACAUCUCGCGCUUUGCACUCAUAACGACGACGUCCAAAAGUACAUUUUUACACUCUUGACCUCGGAUCAGGUAGGGAUACCCGCUGAACUUAAGCA